AGAAUCAACGCUGGCGGCGUGCCUAACACAUGCAAGUCGCACGAGAAAGUGGAGCAAUCCACGAGUAAAGUGGCGCACGGGUGAGUAACACGUGAAUAAUCUACCUCCGAGUGGGGAAUAACUGAGAGAAAUCUUAGCUAAUACCGCAUAACACUUACGAGUCAAAGCAGCAAUGCGCUUGGAGAGGAGUUCGCGGCCGAUUAGUUAGUUGCGGGGUAAUGGCCCACAAGACGAUGAUCGGUA
rnacentral:rRNA from 1 species